CCUACGGGAGGCAGCAGUGAGGAAUAUUGGUCAAUGGGCGGGAGCCUGAACCAGCCAAGUCGCGUGAGGGAAGACGGUCCUAUGGAUCGUAAACCUCUUUAGGCGGGGAGCAAUGCCGGGCACGCGUGCCCGGAGGGAGAGUACCCGAAGAAUAAGCAUCGGCUAACUCCGUGCCAGCAGCCGCGGUAAUACGGAGGAUUCGAGCGUUAUCCGGAUUUAUUGGGUUUAAAGGGAACGUAGGUGGAGUGUUAAGUCAGUUGUGAAAGUUUGCGGCUCAACCGUAAAAUUGCAGUUGAAACUGGCAGUCUUGAGUACAUGAGAGGUGGGCGGAAUGCGUGGUGUAGCGGUGAAAUGCUUAGAGAUCACGAAGAACUCCGAUUGCGAAGGCAGCUCACUGGACUGCAACUGACACUGAGGCUCGAAAGUGUGGGUAUCAAACAGGAUUAGAUACCCUUGUAGUC
rnacentral:rRNA from 1 species